rnacentral:rRNA from 1 species
GACGAACGCUGGCGGCGUGCUUAACACAUGCAAGUCGAGCGGUAAGGCCCUUCGGGUACACGAGCGGCGAACGGGUGAGUAACACGUGGGUGACCUGCCUCUAGCUCUGGGAUAAGCCUGGGAAACUGGGUCUAAUACCGGAUAUGACUCCACGGCGCAUGUUGUGGGGUGGAAAGCCUUGUGUGGCUAGAGAUGGGCCCGCGGCCUAUCAGCUUGUUGGUGGGGUGAUGG